UCCAUCACCUCGUCUUUUUUCUUUUUCUAGGUGGGCACUCGUAAAGUCCGAUACAUUGUGCGCCGAGAGUUAUAUUCGUCAUGGUUGUAACUGUCGACGGCGGUGGACACGCGAUCGGCGAAAGGAUCGAUGUCCUGGGACGUCUGCGAUCAGUCGGUAGCGGCACGUGACGGUCAGCAACCUAAAGGCGGUGACGUCGUCCAGGAUAAUAGUCCGAGGGAUAUGUUGAGUUGAUAUUGCGUUUACGACAUUAUUGAGUAAGCAAAAUGUGUAUGGAGAAUGUUUUUGAGCAACAUUAUUUUAUUUGUCGCAAGUUUUAGUAGAAUUUAUUUUUGUAAAAUUAUUGUACAUUUAUGUAAAGUUAUUUUAAAUAAUGAUACACAUACGUUUCUUGAAAAUUAUAAUUAUCUGUGUUAUUCAUUUCAUUUUAUAAGAGCAUGCUUAAAUAAUUUAUUAUAAUAUAUAGAUUUAAAUUUUAUGUGUGUGCUAUUAAUACAUAUAUUCAAUCAAUAUACUAAAUCUAUACCU